rnacentral:rRNA from 1 species
CCUACGGGUGGCAGCAGUGAGGAAUAUUGGUCAAUGGACGAGAGUCUGAACCAGCCAAGUAGCGUGAAGGAUGACUGCCCUAUGGGUUGUAAACUUCUUUUAUAUGGGAAUAAAAUGUUCCACGUGUGGGAUUUUGUAUGUACCAUAUGAAUAAGGAUCGGCUAACUCCGUGCCAGCAGCCGCGGUAAUACGGAGGAUCCGAGCGUUAUCCGGAUUUAUUGGGUUUAAAGGGAGCGUAGGUGGAUUGUUAAGUCAGUUGUGAAAGUUUGCGGCUCAACCGUAAAAUUGCAGUUGAAACUGGCAGUCUUGAGUACAGUAGAGGUGGGCGGAAUUCGAGGUGUAGCGGUGAAAUGCUUAGAGAUCACGAAGAACUCCGAUUGCGAAGGCAGUUCACUGGACUGCAACUGACACUGAGGCUCGAAAGUGUGGGUAUCAAACAGGAUUAGAUACCCCAGUAGUC